rnacentral:sRNA from 1 species
CUUCUUCAUCAUCACCAC